rnacentral:rRNA from 1 species
GAUGAACGCUGGCGGCGUGCCUAAUACAUGCAAGUCGAGCGAACAGACGAGGAGCUUGCUCCUCUGACGUUAGCGGCGGACGGGUGAGUAACACGUGGAUAACCUACCUAUAAGACUGGGAUAACUUCGGGAAACCGGAGCUAAUACCGGAUAAUAUAUUGAACCGCAUGGUUCAAUAGUUAAAGACGGUUUUGCUGUCACUUAUAGAUGGAUCCGCGCCGCAUUAGCUAGUUGGUAAGGUAACGGCUUACCAAGGCGACGAUGCGUAGCCGACCUGAGAGGGUGAUCGGCCACCCUGGAACUGAGACACGGUCCAGACUCCGACGGGAGGCAGCAGUAGGGAAUCUUCCGCAAUGGGCGAAAGCCUGACGGAGCAACGCCGCGUGAGUGAUGAAGGUCUUCGGAUCGUAAAACUCUGUUAUUAGGGAAGAACAAAUGUGUAAGUAACUAUGCACGUCUUGACGGUACCUAAUCAGAAAGCCACGGCUAACUACGUG